GAUGAACGCUGGCGGCGUGCCUAAUACAUGCAAGUCGAGCGAACAGACGAGGAGCUUGCUCCUCUGACGUUAGCGGCGGACGGGUGAGUAACACGUGGAUAACCUACCUAUAAGACUGGGAUAACUUCGGGAAACCGGAGCUAAUACCGGAUAAUAUAUUGAACCGCAUGGUUCAAUAGUGAAAGACGGUUUUGCUGUCACUUAUAGAUGGAUCCGCGCCGCAUUAGCUAGUUGGUAAGGUAACGGCUUACCAAGGCAACGAUGCGUAGCCGACCUGAGAGGGUGAUCGGCCACACUGGAACUGAGACACGGUCCAGACUCCUACGGGGGGCAGCAGUAGGGAAUCUUCCGCAAUGGGCGAAAGCCUGACGGAGCAACGCCGCGUGAGUGAUGAAGGUCUUCGGAUCGUAAAACUCUGUUAUUAGGGAAGAACAAAUGUGCAAGUAACUAUGCACGUCUUGACGGUACCUAAUCAGAAAGCCACGGCUAACUACGUG
rnacentral:rRNA from 1 species